rnacentral:rRNA from 1 species
CUUAAUUGCCAGCAUUCAGUUGGGCGCUUAAAGAGACUGCCGGUGUUAAACCGGAGGAAGGUGGGGAGUGACGUCAAGUCCUCAUGGCCUUUAUGCUUAGGGCUACACACGUGCUACAAUGGGUGGUACAAAGAGAAGCCAACUCGCGAGAGCGCGCCAAUCUCAAAAAGCCAUCCUCAGUUCGGAUUGGAGUCUGCAACUCGACUCCAUGAAGUUGGAAUCGCUAGUAAUCGCGGAUCAGCAUGCCGCGGUGAAUACGUUCCCGGGCCUU